GAUCAUGGCUCAGGAUGAACGCUGGCGGCGUGCCUAAUACAUGCAAGUCGAGGGGCAGCGGGGUGUAGCAAUACACCGCCGGCGACCGGCGCACGGGUGAGUAACGCGUAUGCAACUUGCCUAUCAGAGGGGGAUAACCCGGCGAAAGUCGGACUAAUACCGCAUGAAGCAGGGAUCCCGCAUGGGAAUAUUUGCUAAAGAUUCAUCGCUGAUAGAUAGGCAUGCG
rnacentral:rRNA from 1 species